rnacentral:ribozyme from 1 species
UGCCCAGCAACUCCUAUCCCUACCUCCUCGCGGUACUGGCCGGGGUACGAGUAACCUUAGGGAAGAUCGGGUAACCAACCCCCGGUGGGAACUAUGGUCGUAUGCUGACAGGGAAGG